UGGGGAAUAUUGCACAAUGGGCGCAAGCCUGAUGCAGCAACGCCGCGUGAAGGGAAGACGGUUUUUCGGAUUGUAAACUUCUGUUGCUUAGUGAAGAAGAAUGACGGUAGCUAAGGAGCAAGCCACGGCUAACUACGUGCCAGCAGCCGCGGUAAUACGUAGGUGGCAAGCGUUGUCCGGAAUUACUGGUGUAAAGGGAGCGCAGGCGGGGGAACAAGUCAGUUGUGAAAUCCAAUGGGCUUAACCCGUGAACUGCAGUUGAAACUGUUCUUCUUGAGUGAAGUAGAGGUUGGCGGAAUUCCGAGUGUAGCGGUGAAAUGCGUAGAUAAUUCGGAGGAACACCGGUGGCGAAGGCGGCCAACUGGGCUUUUACUGACGCUGAGGCUCGAAAGUGUGGGGAGCAAAACAGGAUUAGAUACC
rnacentral:rRNA from 1 species